rnacentral:rRNA from 1 species
GACGAACGCUGGCGGCGUGCUUAACACAUGCAAGUCGAACGGGCCCGCCCCUGUUUUUGGGGGUGGGUUGAGUGGCGAACGGGUGAGUAUCACGUGAGUAACCUGCCCCCUGCUCCUGGAUAACUGCUUGAAAGGGCGGCUAAUACGGGGUGUGCCGGCUGGUCCGCAUGGGCCUGGUCGGGAUAGUUUCAUCUUCGGGUGUUUCGGUGGGGGAUGGGCUCGCGGCCUAUCAGCUUGUUGGUGGGGUGAUGGCCCACCAAGGCGGUGACGGGUAGCCGGCCUGAGAGGGUGGGCGGCCACACUGGGACUGAGACACGGCCCAGACUCCUGCGGGAUGCAGCAGUGGGGGGUAUUGCACAAUGGGCGGAAGCCUGAUGCAGCGACGUCGCGUGAGGGAUGGAGGCCUUCGGGUUGUGAACCUCUUUCUCCGGUGGUGAAGGCCCUGUCCGUUGCGGCGGGGUUGACGGUAGCCGGGUAUGAAGCGCCGGCUAACUACGUG